GAUGAACGCUGGCGGCGUGCCUAACACAUGCAAGUCGAACGGAGUCGUUUUGGAAAUUUCUUCGGAGAUGGAAUUCUCGACUUAGUGGCGGACGGGUGAGUAACGCGUGAGCAAUCUGCCUUUAAGAGGGGGAUAACAGUCGGAAACGGCUGCUAAUACCGCAUAAAGCAUUAAAUUCGCAUGUUUUUGAUGCCAAAGGAGCAAUCCGCUUUUAGAUGAGCUCGCGUCUGAUUAGCUAGUUGGCGGGGUAACGGCCCACCAAGGCGACGAUCAGUAGCCGGACUGAGAGGUUGAACGGCCACAUUGGGACUGAGACACGGCCCAGACUCCUACGGGAGGCAGCAGUGGGGAAUAUUGCGCAAUGGGGGAAACCCUGACGCAGCAACGCCGCGUGAUUGAAGAAGGCCUUCGGGUUGUAAAGAUCUUUAAUCAGGGACGAAACAAAUGACGGUACCUGAAGAAUAAGCUCCGGCUAACUACGUG
rnacentral:rRNA from 1 species